UACGGGGGGGGCAAGCGUUGUUCGGAAUUACUGGGCGUAAAGGGCUCGUAGGUGGCCAACUAAGUCAGACGUGAAAUCCCCAGGCUUAACCUGGGAAUUGCAUCCGAUACUGGAUGGCUUGAAUCCGGGAGAGGGAUGCGGAAUUCCAGGUGUAGCGGUGAAAUGCGUAGAUAUCUGGAGGAACACCGGUGGCGAAGGCGGCAUCCUGGACCAACACUGACACUGAGGAGCGAAAGCCAGGGGAGCAAACGGG
rnacentral:rRNA from 1 species